AGAGUUUGAUCAUGGCUCAGAUUGAACGCUGGCGGCAUGCUUUAUACAUGCAAGUCGAACGGCAGCACGGGAGCUUGCUCCUGGUGGCGAGUGGCGAACGGGUGAGUAAUGCACCGGAACGUACCCAGUAAUGGGGGAUAACACAUCGAAAGAUGUGCUAAUACCGCAUACGCCCUGAGGGGGAAAGCGGGGGAUCGUAAGACCUCGCGUUAUUGGAGCGGCCGAUGCCGGAUUAGCUAGUUGGUGGGGUAAAGGCUCACCAAGGCGACGAUCCGUAGCUGGUCUGAGAGGACGACCAGCCACACUGGGACUGAGACACGGCCCAGACUCCUACGGGAGGCAGCAGUGGGGAAUUUUGGACAAUGGGCGCAAGCCUGAUCCAGCCAUGCCGCGUGAGUGAAGAAGGCCUUCGGGUUGUAAAGCUCUUUCGCAAGGAAAGAAAACUUACCUAUUAAUACUAGGUGAGGUUGACGGUACCUUGAUAAGAAGCACCGGCUAACUACGUGCCAGCAGCCGCGGUAAUGCGUAGGGUGCGAGCGUUAAUCGGAAUUACUGGGCGUAAAGCGUGCGCAGGCGGUUUUGUAAGUCAGAUGUGAAAUCCCCGGGCUCAACCUGGGAACUGCGUUUGAAACUACAAGGCUAGAGUGUAGAAGAGGGGGGUAGAAUUCCACGUGUAGCAGUGAAAUGCGUAGAGAUGU
rnacentral:rRNA from 1 species